CCUACGGGGGGCAGCAGUGGGGAAUAUUGCACAAUGGGGGAAACCCUGAUGCAGCGACGCCGCGUGAGUGAAGAAGUAUUUCGGUACGUAAAGCUCUAUCAGCAGGGAAGAAAAUGACGGUACCUGACUAAGAAGCCCCGGCUAACUACGUGCCAGCAGCCGCGGUAAUACGUAGGGGGCAAGCGUUAUCCGGAUUUACUGGGUGUAAAGGGAGCGUAGACGGCAGCGCAAGUCUGGAGUGAAAUCCCAUGGCUUAACCAUGGAACUGCUUUGGAAACUGUGCAGCUAGAGUGCAGGAGAGGUAAGCGGAAUGCCUAGUGUAGCGGUGAAAUGCGUAGAUAUUAGGAGGAACACCAGUGGCGAAGGCGGCUUACGGGACUGUAACUGACGUUGAGGCUCGAAAGCGUGGGGAGCAAACAGGAUUAGAUACCCGGGUAGUC
rnacentral:rRNA from 1 species